CUACGGGGCGCACCAGUGAGGAAUAUUGGGCAAUGGGCGCAAGCCUGACCCAGCAACGCCGCGUGAGGGAAGAAGGUUUUCGGAUUGUAAACCUCUGUCCUUGGGGACGAAGAAGUGACGGUACCCAAGGAGGAAGCUCCGGCUAACUACGUGCCAGCAGCCGCGGUAAUACGUAGGGAGCAAGCGUUGUCCGGAAUUACUGGGCGUAAAGGGUGCGUAGGCGGCAUAUUAAGUCAGGUGUGAAAUACUCGGGAUCAACCCGGGGGCUGCAUUUGAAACUGAUAUGCUUGAGUGUGAGAGAGGAAAGUGGAAUUCCUAGUGUAGCGGUGGAAUGCGUAGAUAUUAGGAGGAACACCAGUGGCGAAGGCGACUUUCUGGCUCAUAACUGACGCUGAGGCACAAAAGCGUGGGGAGCAAACAGGAUUAGAUACCCUAGUAGUC
rnacentral:rRNA from 1 species